UUAGGACCUUUCAAGUAGGGGCACCAAAUUUCACAGGGAAUGGCCCAAAGAGCUAGAGAAACAGAAAAUAAUCUCUUAACCAGCGAGAGUUUCAUAGAAACCCUUGCUGCAGCAUGCGACAGAAUACCGUGUUAUGGCUCAAUGGCAAGCUCCAGCGCACACCAAACUACGGAGGAAGAGGUCUGCACGCUAUUUCGCCGAGGCUCUCAACCAGGCGAACGUUUCCCUGCUCCUGUUUACAACCUGAGGCAAUUCUCCAAACCGCGCAAAGAGUACAGAAUGAUGCCAUAAAGAAGCUGUGUCACAUUGGUGGGAAAAACAACUAUGGUGAACUAGGCUGCUGUUGCUGCCCUCAGUGACGACAGCCUUCUUGCCCCGGCACCCAGAAAAGCAGGAGACAACUACGCAUCCACCUCCUCAGGAAGCCUUUGUUCUUCGGGGCUCCUCUUGAGCGUUCAAGACCAAAGACUCCAUGGACCUGACACUGCUGCUUGCUUGCGGUCAGCCGACUCAGCAAAUUCUUGUUCUUCAGAACCUUUCUCAAGAUCCUCCAAGAUGCUGUGGGCCAGUUCCAGCUCACAGCGCGAGGGGAAGAGGGUCCGGCCGAGGGCCAUUUCCCCCAUCACGCAGGCUAAAGACCACAUGUUGAUCUUUGCUGUGCAGGGAUAGACCAGUAGGACCCCAGGAGCUCUGUCGAAUCUGAAAGAGUAAACAAUUGCAGAGGUAGACAAAUUAUUUUUAAAACAGGAAGUCUGCAUUUUCAGAGCAAAUAGCUGUCCUCAGUCCCCGUGCCUACUUCUACACGCAAUUUCCACUCAAGAUGCAAAAAUAUUAUUGCAUAUCCAGGUUACUGUUUUGGACUAAAUCGUGUUUUCAUAGUAAAGUUUCAUGCUAUUUUUCUUCACAAGUUGGGAAUGUUCAAUCGUACACAGUGGAGCUGAGAACACAUUCUUCAUUUAUUCACAGCUCUAUUGCGCCUCCAUGAGUUUAAAUUGGGCCUGUCCUAAACUAAUACAAAGUGGCCCACAUUGUAGGCCAGCGUAAUGCUUUCCACAUUUUCAAGUGUUUGAUGUAAAACAUCUUAACUUUUGUAGCUUUGUGGUCUGAACACAAUUAGCCUACCCAGGAUAACUGAAAUCCCAAUUUAGCUUAAUUUUCUGUACGUACUGCUAGCAAAGUGAGUUGUUUAUGUCAAAGAAUAAAUGUUCUGACAUUUACAGCAAAUGUCAUGCGAACCUGGGCUGAAUGUAGGGCAUCCACAUUGAAGCCAGGUCAUGGGCAGUUUUGGCGGAGCCAAAGUCCACCAGUUUUACUCGUAAUGGCUGAUGGCGCUUGAUGUUUUCCUGCUUGAUGUCCGCGUGAACGAUACCCAUAUCUUUCAGUUUGGCCAGGGCUGUGACCACUUGGCGAACAACCAUCCCGAUGUCCCGUAUUUUAAACUUCUUCAGCGGCUUUCUGGAAGGCAUCCAGGGUCUGGUCCAUUACCUCUUCCACCAAGUAAAUGUGAAACUCGUCCGCGAAAGCUUCGUAAAAGCGAACGGUGUGGUGAUCGAAAGCAUUCUCGACCGUUAGAGCAGCGAGAAGUCGUGCUUCUUGAAUGCAUAUCCUCAUGUGAACAUGGGGUAUUCUCUUCACGCCCACCAUUUUCUGGUCACUCCGACGCUGGAACCUGGCGACCUCGGCGAACAUACCAUGGCCUAAGCUCUCUACAAAAUCGUACUCUUCGGUGUCUGAGGACAACAUGCUGAAAGCUUUGUCCUGCCGCAAAGAACGUGACUUUGUACAAGGUACAAGUAACUUUACUUGUUUUUGUGUGAAAUUUAUAUAUGGAAUUUCUAACGUGUUGAUAUUCCACAUGGACUUCUCUUGCGUCACAUGUUAGUUGUAAUAACUAAAAAAUGUAUUCAAUGAAUGGAAAACAUCAAGCAAAAAUGAACUUCCAAUAUAUAAAAAAAUCUGUUAAAA